rnacentral:tRNA from 2 species
UCCCUGGCAGUCCAGUGGUUAGGACUCUGCACUUGCAUUGCUGAGGGCCUAGGUUCAAUCCCUGAUCAGGGAA